AGUGAACGCUGGCGGUAGGCCUAACACAUGCAAGUCGAACGGCAGCACAGUAAGAGCUUGCUCUUACGGGUGGCGAGUGGCGGACGGGUGAGGAAUACAUCGGAAUCUACUUUUUCGUGGGGGAUAACGUAGGGAAACUUACGCUAAUACCGCAUACGACCUACGGGUGAAAGCAGGGGAUCUUCGGACCUUGCGCGAUUGAAUGAGCCGAUGUCGGAUUAGCUAGUUGGCGGGGUAAAGGCCCACCAAGGCGACGAUCCGUAGCUGGUCUGAGAGGAUGAUCGGCCACACUGGAACUGAGACACGGUCCAGACUCCUACGGGAGGAAGCAGUGGGGAAUAUUGGACAAUGGGCGCAAGCCUGAUACAGCCAUACCGCGUGGGUGAAGAAGGCCUUCGGGUUGUAAAGCCCUUUUGUUGGGAAAGAAAAGCAGCAGGUUAAUACCCCGCUGUUCUGACGGUACCCAAAGAAUAAGCACCGGCUAACUUCGUG
rnacentral:rRNA from 1 species